GAUGAACGCUGGCGGCGUGCCUAAUACAUGCAAGUCGAGCGAACAGAUGAGGAGCUUGCUCCUCUGACGUUAGCGGCGGACGGGUGAGUAACACGUAGAUAACCUACCUAUAAGACUGGGAUAACUUCGGGAAACCGGAGCUAAUACCGGAUAAUAUAUUGAACCGCAUGGUUCAAUAGUGAAAGACGGUUUUGCUGUCACUUAUAGAUGGAUCCGCGCCGCAUUAGCUAGUUGGUAAGGUAACGGCUUACCAAGGCAACGAUGCGUAGCCGACCUGAGAGGGUGAUCGGCCACACUGGAACUGAGACACGGUCCAGACUCCUACGGGAGGCAGCAGUAGGGAAUCUUCCGCAAUGGGCGAAAGCUUGACGGAGCAACGCCGCGUGAGUGAUGAAGGUCUUCGGAUCGUAAAACUCUGUUAUUAGGGAAGAACAAAUGUGUAAGUAACUAUGCACGUCUUGACGGUACCUAAUCAGAAAGCCACGGCUAACUACGUG
rnacentral:rRNA from 1 species